ensembl:misc_RNA Metazoa_SRP Metazoan signal recognition particle RNA
GCUGGGUGUGGUGGCUCACACCUGUAAUCCCGGCACUUUGGGAGGCUGAGGUGGGUGGAUCACCUGAGGUCGGGAGUUGGAGACCAGCCUGACCAACAUGGAGAAACCCCGUCUCUU